CACGCCCUAAACGAUGAAUACUUGGUGUUGGCUUUUUUAAGUCAGUGCCGAAGGUAACCUGAUAAGUAUUCCACCUGGGGAGUACGCUCGCAAGGGUGAAACUCAAAGGAAUUGACGGGGGCCCGCACAAGCGGUGGAGCAUGUGGUUUAAUUCGAUGCAACGCGAAGAACCUUACCUGGGCUUGAACUAUAGGUGGUAGAGAGAUGAAAGUCGAACGACCUAGCAAUAGGAGCCUAUAGAGGUGC
rnacentral:rRNA from 1 species